rnacentral:rRNA from 1 species
UACGUAGGUGGCAAGCGUUGUCCGGAAUUAUUGGGCGUAAAGCGCGCGCAGGCGGUCCCUUAAGUCUGAUGUGAAAGCCCACGGCUCAACCGUGGAGGGUCAUUGGAAACUGGGGGACUUGAGUGCAGAAGAGGAAAGUGGAAUUCCAUGUGUAGCGGUGAAAUGCGUAGAGAUGUGGAGGAACACCAGUGGCGAAGGCGACUUUCUGGUCUGUAACUGACGCUGAGGCGCGAAAGCGUGGGGAGCAAACCGG